rnacentral:rRNA from 1 species
ACUUAAGCAUAUCAAUAAGCGGAGGAAAAGAAACUAACAAGGAUUCCCCUAGUAACUGCGAGUGAAGCGGGAAGAGCUCAAAUUUGAAAUCUGGCGGUUCUUUAACUGUCCGAAUUGUAAUCUAGAGAAGUGCUACCUGUGCUGGACCAUGUACAAGUCUCCUGGAAUGGAGCAUCAUAGAGGGUGAGAAUCCCGUCUUUGACAUGGACUACCUGUACAUUAUGGUGUGCUCUCGAAGAGUCGAGUUGUUUGGGAAUGCAGCUCAAAAUGGGUGGUAAAUGCCAUCUAAAGCUAAAUAUUGGCGAGAGACCGAUAGCGAACAAGUACCGUGAGGGAAAGAUGAAAAGAACUUUGGAAAGAGAGUUAAACAGUACGUGAAAUUGCUGAAAGGGAAACGCUUGAAGUCAGUCACAUUGGCUAGAAAUCAGCCUUGCUUUUGCUUGGUGUACUUUCUGGUUGAUGGGUCAGCAUCAAUUUUGACCAUUGGAUAAAGUCUUUGGGAAUGUGGCAUCUUCGGAUGUGUUAUAGCCCAUUGUCACAUGCAAUGGUUGGGAUUGAGGAACUCAGCACGCCGCAAGGCCGGGUUUCGACCACGUUCGUGCUUAGGAUGCUGGCAUAAUGGCUUUAAUCGACCCGUCUUGAAACACGGACCAAGGAGUCUAACAUGCCUGCGAGUGUUUGGGUGGAAAACCCAUGCGCGUAAUGAAAGUGAAAGUUGAGAUCCCUGUAAUAAGGGGAGCAUUGACGCCCGGACCAGACCUUUUGUGACGGAUCCGCGGUAGAGCAUGUAUGUUGGGACCCGAAAGAUGGUGAACUAUGCCUGAAUAGGGUGAAGCCAGAGGAAACUCUGGUGGAGGCUCGUAGCGAUUCUGACGUGCAAAUCGAUCGUCAAAUUUGGGUAUAGGGGCGAAAGACUAAUCGAACCAUCUAGUAGCUGGUUCCUGCCGA